rnacentral:rRNA from 1 species
UACGAAAGGUGCAAGCGUUGUUCGGAAUCACUGGGCGUAAAGCGCACGUAGGCGGGUUCGUGUGUCGAUUGUGAAAGCCCCAGGCUCAACCUGGGAAUGGCAGUCGAAACUGCGAAUCUUGAAUACCUGAGAGGGUGGGGGAAUUCCUGGUGGAGAAGUGAAAUUCGUAGAUAUCAGGAGGAACAUCAGAGGCGAAGGCGCCUACCUGGCAGGCUAUUGACGCUGAGGUGCGAAAGUGCGGGGAGCAAACAGG